AAGAUUAUCCCAUUGCACUCCAGCCUGGGCAGCAGAGCGAGACUCUGUCUCAAAAAACAAAAAACCCAAAAACUUGCAGAGUGAAUUUAGGAAACCAUGUAGUCUACAGUUUGAUGCAAUGUCUUCCUUUUCCUCUUUCUCAAAUAUUUUGAGCCAGGUACUAUCCUAGAUUGUCUUGUGAUAUUUACAAUCUAGGAGAAGGCAGGAGAGAGAACUAAGAACAGAGAGCAUGUUCUGAGAUGUCUGCUGUGUUUGCAGAAAUGAGGCUUCUCCCCAGGACCAGCAUUCCACGAAGGCAGCCCUUUUCUAGAUGGAGAAAACAGAACCUGAAGACACCCGUUUCCCUAAACUGCUCUCGCUCAUGUAAACUCCUGGAGGGCAGAGGCAUGCCUGCCAUCUUCAUCAUUGCAUUACCACCACCCAACACUAUCGGGGGACCUGCCCUGAUAAUCAGUCUACAGGUGUAUCCAGCAGCUCCAGAGAGACAGCGACCAGCGAGAAGGGGCCAUGAUGAUGGUGGUGGUUUUGUCAAAACGAAAAGGGGGAUAUGUAGGGAAAAGAAAGAGAGAUCAGACUGUUACUGUGUCUACAUAGAAAGGGAAGCCAUAAGAGACUCCAUUUUGAAA
rnacentral:lncRNA from 1 species